CCUCCCCUCUGUAGACACUUGGCUUGGCUUUUGUGCUACUUAGGUUCUGGUUCCUGGGGUGGUUGCUGAGAGCUGAAGGCUGAGCUUAGUGCUAUUCUGCGUCCUGAGCCACCCGCCCCCCUCUCCCCCCCUCGUGGGGCGCUAACACUUCAAAAUGUAGGGCGUAGCAUGGGUGCUUUAAAAUCUGGUCGUGGGAAUGACCUCGUGGCAACCACCAUCGAGCCUUCAUCUUUAUGGCGAUGUACUCAGCAUCCCAGUGUGCCUCCCAUCCCCCCGCCCCCGCCCGCCCCAAGCAUGGCCUGGUAGACUCCAAAUAAAGAUGGGUUAAUUUUCCUGGAGCCCAGAACAGUGAGCCCGCGGGCCUGAAAUCACACGUGGAGACUAAAAGCACAAGACCUGAAUGAUUGGAGAAGAGAAGUGUACCACAACCUUAGUUCCCCAGACCAUCAUGGAUCUCUUCCAAAUGGGAACCAAGGUAUACAGAACUCUUCACCUACCUGCCAGUACAACAGAAACAAAACCAAGACACUGCCUGUCCUCCCUGCCUAGUGGGUUGGGCUGCUAUGUCCAAAAGUGAGACUCAUGUCAAUCCUUUCCAAAUGCCAGAUCAUUAAUCAUUCAUCUGGAGCACACAAGAACACUGUGUUUGUGGAUUUGGGAACAGCUAUGUGAAGAAAUGUCAUAUCUGCAUCAAGUUGCUCCUGGUUUUCAGGGCUAAAGAAAUGAAAACAACCGAUGUGAUCUCAUUGAAUGGGCUUCACAGGUCUUAUCUCUUCAAAGGUAGCUGUGUACAGGAGUUAAGCUACUGUAUGUUCAUCUGCCUUGUUUCUGAGUCUGUGAAACAAGUAAAUAAUGUCACAUCAACCCCAGGUCUGUGGUGAGGAUUACAUGAAUAAAGAGGACUUACAAUAGUGUUGAACGCUCACAUGUGGACUGUUCCUACUAUUCAAUUAAGGCAUUCAACUGACAGUGUCAGCUGAAAGACAAACUUUAUUUCAGUGUGUUGAUAGGUAGUCAAGUCUUACCUUGAAUAAAUUUUAACAUUAAAUGAAA